rnacentral:RNase_P_RNA from 2 species
AGAGUAGACGCAGGCGGUUGCAGAUCAGUCAUAGUCACUGAUUUGAGGAAAGUCCGGGCUCCCGAAAGACCAAACUUGCUGGAUAACGUCCAGUGCGAGCGAUCGUGAGGAUAGUGCCACAGAAAGAUACCGCCAGAUCAAUUAAAAAUUAAAAAUUAAAAAUGUAAAAUGAGCAAUCAAUUUUUAAUUUUUAGUUUUACAUUUUUAAUUGCUCUGGUAAGGGUGCAAAGGUGCGGUAAGAGCGCACCAGCAGUAUCGAGAGGUGCUGGCUCGGUAAACCCCGGUUGGGAGCAAGGCGAUAGGAACUACGGUUGGUCUUUUACCAGUUCCGCUCAACGAGAGCCGCUAGAGGCGUUUGGUAACAAGCGUCCCAGAUAGAUAACUGCCCUCGCAAGAGAACAGAACCCGGCUUAUGUACUACUCUUUCC